rnacentral:lncRNA from 1 species
ACAAUGACCCUAGAACCUAGAACAGAGUGGAAAAAUGUACUCAAAAUUCCAAAGGAAAAUUAUUUCCAAGAUAAAACUCCAAACACAUCAUGAAACUAUAUGACUAAGGGAGAAAAAAGACAUUUUCAGAUAAGCAAGAUCUCAAAUAAUUUGCCUCCCAUGCAACCUUUCUUGUGAAACUACUUGAGGAUGUGCUCCAUCAAAACAAGAUAGUAAACCAAGACAUAGGAAGAUAUGAAGUACAGGAAACAGAGUCAACACAGGAAGGAGAAUAAGGAAUUUCCCUCCAGGAUGGCAAAGGAGAUCCCAGGGUGAUAGCUGCACCAGGAGUUGAGAGUACCCAGUCUAGAUUGGAGCUGUGUGAUUCAAGAGACAGACAUGUUAAAGGAUGUUUGAGCAAUACCCCUGAAGCCAUGGAAUGGUUUUGUGAAUCUGAGGACAGAAUGGCCAGGAAUGAGAGCUCCAUGCGGGC